GACGAACGCUGGCGGCGUGCCUAAUACAUGCAAGUUGAGCGAUGAAGAUUGGUGCUUGCACCAAUUUGAAGAGCAGCGAACGGGUGAGUAACGCGUGGGGAAUCUGCCUUUGAGCGGGGGACAACAUUUAGAAACGAAUGCUAAUACCGCAUAACAACUUUAAACAUAAGUUUUAAGUUUGAAAGAUGCAAUUGCAUCACUCAAAGAUGAUCCCGCGUUGUAUUAGCUAGUUGGUGAGGUAAAGGCUCACCAAGGCGAUGAUACAUAGCCGACCUGAGAGGGUGAUCGGCCACAUUGGGACUGAGACACGGCCCAAACUCCUACGGGAGGCAGCAGUAGGGAAUCUUCGGCAAUGGACGAAAGUCUGACCGAGCAACGCCGCGUGAGUGAAGAAGGUUUUCGGAUCGUAAAACUCUGUUGGUAGAGAAGAACGUUGGUGAGAGUGGAAAGCUCAUCAAGUGACGGUAACUACCCAGAAAGGGACGGCUAACUACGUG
rnacentral:rRNA from 1 species